GUGAAAAAUUCCUUUCCCCCAACCUCUUGGCUCAGAACUUAGAUCGAGGACAGAUCGGCUGAACCUUUGAAGCUACACGAUGGGUGUACUGCUGAAGGGUUUCACAUUUGCAGUGAAUGCAGAUUCAAAAACAAACUGGGUUUGUUUGGAAUAAGUAGACAAAGCACUACAGUGGGUAAUCAACAUGAGCAGUGACAGCCACCAUGACUGAGGAGACAAAGAAAAGCGCACCGCCUACAGAAACCCAAACUUCAUCAACAGAAACCUGCUCUGCUGAUUGGUUGCAGCGACCCUGCAUGACAUGUGUGGACUGUGGAUUGAUGAUGCAUGGUGCAGCCACCAAAAUUCAAAUGAAAUCAGCUAUCGCAUGUGUGGAGAUCACAUCUGUGCUGUCUGAGGUGCUAAAUGAUGAUCAAGCUGUGAAAAAGAACAAGAGCUGAAGGCACAUCGGACAGUUUAAUUAUAUCAACUUAAUUAUAAGGAAUUUUCAGAGUAUAAUUAGCGUGAAAUAUUACGUUAGCCCUCUCCCUCAGACCUUUAUUAUCUUGAAUCUCAGGAAAUUAAUGUGUGUGUCUGUGAAAACUGGGUCAGUUUGGCUAUGUUUCCAAGGUAACAGGGGUCAUAGUUACUUACUUCAUCAAUAUCCAUUUUGGCAGGCCUCCCAGAAUAUAUCAGCUUGUGUAUGUCAGAUUUCAUGGACCCAAAAUGUUUUCGACUUUCACCAAAGACAUCAUUUUAGCCAUUAAGUGUAUGAGGCACAGAAGAGCAAUUUAAAGCUGGAAGCUUCAUUUAAAGUGUGCCACAUGUGCAGCUUUUCCUUCCAUUAAGUCUACUUCCUGAUAAAUGGACUGAUAUGACUGUAAUAUAAGCAGAUUUCAUUCAUGAGGUAUUUGAGCAGCAUAGCUCUGUAUAAGAAUAGAUGAAUUUGUUUACCAUCUGCUCUUCAACUAUUUAUAGCUGUGCAGCAUAGGCAAAGUGGAUGUUGAACAGCACAAAUCAGGAUAUAUCUCAGCUCUGAUUGUUGUUUAUCUCGGUGCAAAGAGGCUGUA